rnacentral:lncRNA from 1 species
UGAUUUCUCUACUUUCUCUCUCUCUCCCAUUCUCUCUUUCUCUCCAUCUCUCUCUCUCUCUCUCUUGCUCUUGCUCUCGCUCUCUCUCCCCUGGAUGGAAAAUUACUAAGAGGAAACAUCAGGGGUAAAGGGGAUUCUGGCGAAACCAGUUGGACAGACAGGAUCCUUGCUGAAGGCAGGCCGAGGUGAUGACACAUUGAGGAUGGGGGAUAGGGAAUUUAAUCGGAUAUCAAAUAUGGGGGAUUUUUGCUAAAGUGACACAGCAGGAGUCCUGCUAAAACUGGACUAAACUGGAAAAGGGCAGAGCCCAAAGCUGGGCUUGUCACAAAGGGAGCUCAGAGGAGCCAGACUUAAGUUUGAUCAAAGAAGAGAGCCUUUGUCAGUAGUAAAGGAAAUAAGAAAGAUUUCUUCCAGUCAAUUCCUUCCUGCCUUCUUCCAGGAAGGGGUUAGAAGUCAUCCAUCCUGUGGACAGGGAGGACACACCACCUCCUCUGUGAGACAGCACUGGGGAAACAAUGAGACCUCAGAGGGAAGAUGC